AAUGAACGCUGGCGGCAGGCCUAACACAUGCAAGUCGAACGGAUCCUUCGGGAUUAGUGGCGGACGGGUGAGUAACGCGUGGGAACGUGCCCUUUGGUUCAGAAUAGCCUCGGGAAACCGGGAGUAAUACCGGAUAAGACCUUCGGGGGAAAGAUUUAUCGCCAAAGGAUCGGCCCGCGUAGGAUUAGGUAGUUGGUGGGGUAAUGGCCUACCAAGCCGACGAUCCAUAGCAGGUCUGUGGGGAUGAUCAGACACACUGGCACUGAGACACGGCCCAGACGCCUACGGGAGGCAGCAUUGGGGAAUCUUAGACCAUGGGGGAAACCCUGAUCUAGCCAUGCCGCGUGAUCGAUGAAGGCCUUAGGGUUGUAAAGAUCUUUCAGUUGGGAAGAUAAUGACGUUACCAACAGAAGAAGCCCCGGCUAACUCCGUGCCAGCAGCCGCGGUAACAC
rnacentral:rRNA from 1 species